UCUCCCUACGGGGGGCAGCAGUGAGGAAUAUUGGUCAAUGGCCGCAGGGCUGAACCAGCCAAGUAGCGUGAAGGAUGACUGCCCUAUGGGUUGUAAACUUCUUUUAUAAAGGAAUAAAACGAGGCACGUGUGCCUUUUUGCAUGUACUUUAUGAAUAAGGAUCGGCUAACUCCGUGCCAGCAGCCGCGGUAAUACGGAGGAUCCGAGCGUUAUCCGGAUUUAUUGGGUUUAA
rnacentral:rRNA from 1 species